CCUACGGGAGGCAGCAGUGGGGAAUCUUGCGCAAUGGGCGAAAGCCUGACGCAGCAACGCCGCGUGCGGGAAGAAGGCCUUCGGGUUGUAAACCGCUUUCAGCAGGAACGAAAAUGACGGUACCUGCAGAAGAAGGAGCGGCCAACUACGUGCCAGCAGCCGCGGUGACACGUAGGCUCCAAGCGUUGUCCGGAUUUAUUGGGCGUAAAGAGCUCGUAGGCGGUUCAGUAAGUCGGGUGUGAAAACUCUGGGCUCAACCCAGAGCCUGCAUUCGAAACUGCUGUGACUAGAGUUUGGUAGGGGAGCGGGGAAUUCCUAGUGUAGCGGUGAAAUGCGCAGAUAUUAGGAGGAACACCGGUGGCGAAAGCGCCGCUCUGGGCCAAUACUGACGCUGAGGAGCGAAAGCGUGGGUAGCAAACAGGAUUAGAUACCCUGGUAGUCCACGCCGUAAACGAUGGGCACUAGGUGUGGGUUUCAACUAACGAAAUCCGUGCCGUCGCUAACGCAUUAAGUGCCCCGCCUGGGGGAGGUACGGUCGCGAGACGUAAACUUAAAUAGAAUUAGUAACGGCGUGAGAGUGCCGAAGGACGACGACGAGGGAGGAGG
rnacentral:rRNA from 1 species